rnacentral:misc_RNA from 1 species
GAUGAAGAACGCAGCGAAAUGCGAUAAGUAAUGUGAAUUGCAGAAUUCAGUGAAUCAUCAAAUCUUUGAACGCACAUUGCGCCCCUUGGUAUUCCGAGGGGCAUGCCUGUUCGAGCGUCAUUACACCACUCAAGCUAUGCUUGGUAUUGGGCGUCGUCCUUAGUUGGGCGCGCCUUAAAGACCUCGGCGAGGCCACUCCGGCUUUAGGCGUAGUAGAAUUUAUUCGAACGUCUGUCAAAGGAGAGGAACUCUGCCGACUGAAACCUUUAUUUUUCUAGGUUGACCUCGGAUCAGGUAGGGAUACCCGCUGAACUUAAGCAUAUCAAUAAGCGGAGGA